UCCGUUUUGUCAACUGAAUGUAGCAACUAAUGGCAAGGGUUGCGCUCGUUGCGGGACUUAACCCAACAUCUCACGACACGAGCUGACGACAGCCAUGCAGCACCUGUGUCUAGGUUCCCUUUCGGGCACUCCUGCAUUUCUGCAGGAUUCCUAGCAUGUCAAGGGUAGGUAAGGUUUUUCGCGUUGCAUCGAAUUAAACCACAUCAUCCACCGCUUGUGCGGGUCCCCGUCAAUUCCUUUGAGUUUAAGCCUUGCGGCCGUACUCCCCAGGCGGUCAACUUCACGCGUUAGCUUCGUUACCAAGGAAUUACUUCCCCGACAACCAGUUGACAUCGUUUAGGGCGUGGACUAC
rnacentral:misc_RNA from 1 species